AAUGUAGUUUAGUUGAAUGAACAUUUCAAAAAUUUCAAGAUAAAUUUUACAUUACAGUCGAUUUCACGAAACUUUGACCACAAAUGUUCCGAACUUCGCUGCGAAGUUCGCAAGUUCGUUGCGAAGUUCGGAAGCUCAUAUUGGAAUUCACAAGCCAAUUUGUAAACAAAGUCCCUGAUUGGUCCGUGAAGUAAUCAAAUGCGUAGUUUACGAACUGGUUUGUGAAUCUGAUUAUGAACUUUUGAAAUUUGCAACAAUCUUGUGAACUUCGCAACGAAGUUCGGAAAAUUUGUAGUCAAAGUUUCGUGAAAUCGACUGUAAAUCAAAGCUCACAAAAUGCAUAAUAAUAUACCUACA